rnacentral:rRNA from 1 species
AGUGAACGCUGGCGGUAGGCCUAACACAUGCAAGUCGAACGGCAGCACAGUAAGAGCUUGCUCUUACGGGUGGCGAGUGGCGGACGGGUGAGGAAUACAUCGGAAUCUACUUUUUCGUGGGGGAUAACGUAGGGAAACUUACGCUAAUACCGCAUACGACCUACGGGUGAAAGCAGGGGAUCUUCGGACCUUGCGCGAUUGAAUGAGCCGAUGUCGGAUUAGCUAGUUGGCGGGGUAAAGGCCCACCAAGGCGACGAUCCGUAGCUGGUCUGAGAGGACGAUCAGCCGCACUGGAACUGAGACACGGUCCAGACUCCUACGGGAGGCAGCAGUGGGGAAUAUUGGACAAUGGGCGCAAGCCUGAUCCAGCCAUACCGCGUGGGUGAAGAAGGCCUUCGGGUUGUAAAGCCCUUUUGUUGGGAAAGGAAAGCAGCAGGUUAAUACCCCGCUGUUCUGACGGUACCCAAAGAAUAAGCACCGGCUAACUUCGUG